rnacentral:misc_RNA from 1 species
ACAAACAAAAUCGGGGCUCGUUGGCAGAGCGACCGAGAGGCUAACGCAAAACACAGCCGAGGGUUGUUGUUAAAAGUCGGAUCGACCUCGAACGCCCAGCGACCAGGUCGCUAGGCCGAGGGAUCCAGGCGAACUCGCUGGAGGGUUUAUCUCUCUCAGCGCCUUGGGCCGUCGAAGCUUUCCUGCUCCGUCGCCUUAAGUACAGACGAGCUCGACCGCGACCCCGGGCUUCCGGAACGGUGGGUCGCUAAAACAAAACAAAAAGCACUCGGCAUCGUCGGGGGGAAACCUCGACGUUAUAAGCACCCGAGUAUGUACUUUCUCACGUAUACCAACAGAUUUCUUACACAAAACCCGGGAAGGCGGAGUCGGCAAGGCUCUUGCCUUUUUUUCGGGGGUCGGCCGGCGUACCUCGUUGCGCGCCGCGACCGACCGAAUUGGCAUCAUACUAUUUUGA